rnacentral:rRNA from 1 species
UACGUAGGGUGCAAGCGUUGUCCGGAAUUAUUGGGCGUAAAGAGCUCGUAGGCGGUCUGUCGCGUCGGCUGUGAAACCCUGAGGCUCAACCUCAGGCCUGCAGUCGAUACGGGCAGACUAGAGUGCGGUAGGGGAGACUGGAAUUCCUGGUGUAGCGGUGAAAUGCGCAGAUAUCAGGAGGAACACCGGUGGCGAAGGCGGGUCUCUGGGCCGUAACUGACGCUGAGGAGCGAAAGCGUGGGGAGCGAACAGG